UCUUGACCUCAUGAUCCUCCCACCUUGGCCUCCCAGUGUGCUGGGAUUACUGGCGUGAGCCACCGCGCCCAGCCUCACCCUCUUAAUGAUUAUGUUCGCAUCUGUGUGACCAAGUGGUAGAAUCUGCUGUAUCUGAUGGUAUUGUUUACACCAUCCAUUCUUUAGUUCCUUCUGCUCUGGACUUCCUAGGCUCAGACUCUGGAGUGGCUAAGCCAGCUCUUUUCCCCCAGGUCUCCUGAGUGUAAGCAGAGUAGGUGGUACACCAGAAAAUCUUCAUGCAAGUCAUCUUCUUAGGUUCCUCUUCCUAGACUGACUAUCUUGGUUUAACCAGCCAUUUUAGAGGAGCCCUUUACCUAGAGUUGAAAGAUGUGUAGUGGGCCAGGCCUGAUAUACAUGAAACAUGCACACACAUAUCAAAGGCCUUCUUGAGUUUAUCCAGAAUGAAUAUCGAGCAUACAACCAAUGGAAAUACCUGAAAUCCUACAUA